GACGAACGCUGGCGGCGUGCUUAACACAUGCAAGUCGAACGGAAAGGCCCUGCUUUUGUGGGGUGCUCGAGUGGCGCACGGGUGAGUAACACGGGAGUAACCUGCCCUUGACUUUGGUAUGCCUUCAGGACACUGGGGCUAAUAGCGGAUAGGAGCGCCGGCGGCAGGGUGGUGGUUGGAAAGGUUCGGCGGUGGGGGAUGGACUCGCGGCUUAUCAGCUUGUUGGGGGGGUAGGGGCUUACAAGGGCGUUGACGGGUAGCCGGCCUGAGAGGGUGACCGGCCACAUUGGGACUGAGAUACGGCCCAGACUCCUACGGGAGGCAGCAGUGGGGAAUAUUGCACAAUGGGCGGAAGCCUGAUGCAGCAACGCCGCGUGCGGGAUGACGGCCUUCGGGUUGUAAACCGCUUUCGCCUGUGACGAAGCGUGAGUGACGGUAAUGGGUAAAGAAGCACCGGCUAACUACGUG
rnacentral:rRNA from 1 species